UACAGAGGUCCCAAGCGUUGUUCGGAUUCACUGGGCGUAAAGGGUGCGUAGGUGGCGGGGUAAGUUUGAUGUGAAAUCCCCGGGCUCAACCUGGGAACUGCAUCUGUGACUGCAUAGCUAGAGUACGGUAGAGGGGAUGGAAUUCCGCGUGUAGCAGUGAAAUGCGUAGAUAUGCGGAGGAACACCGAUGGCGAAGGCAAUCCCCGUGGACCUGUACUGACGCUCAUGACACGAAAGGCGUGGGGAAGCAAACGAGG
rnacentral:rRNA from 1 species